UACAGAGGUGGCAAGCGUUGUUCGGAAUUACUGGGCGUAAAGGGCGCGUAGGCGGUUCGUUAAGUCCUGUGUGAAAUCCCCCGGCUCAACUGGGGAACUGCACAGGAAACUAGCGGGCUUGAGUUCGGGAGAGGGAAGCGGAAUUCCGGGUGUAGCGGUGAAAUGCGUAGAUAUCUGGAGGAACACCGGAGGCGAAAGCGGUCCACUGGGCAACUUCUGACGCUGAGGUGCGAAAGCUAGGGUAGCAAACGGG
rnacentral:rRNA from 1 species